GAAGUCGUUACUUCAACCCUUGUGGAGGAGGACGCCGAAGGUGGGGCUAAUGACUGGGGUGAAGUCGUAACAAGGUAGCCGUACCGGAAGGUGCGGCUGGAUCACCUCCUAACAGGGAGACAACAAAAUGUAAAUAUUAAUUUUGUCACCUUAGGUCGAUCGGUAUCUCAGAUUCUUAUUAUUUAAGAAUUUCAGUUUCUAAGUUUUUUCUAGGUCACACCCAUCACUUUUUCCUGGGCCAUUAGCUCAGGUGGUUAGAGCGCACCCCUGGUAAGGGUGAGGUCCCUGGUUCAAGUCCAGGAUGGCCCAUAUCUCUAUGUUGGGGGUAUAGCUCAGUUGGUAGAGCGCCUGCUUUGCAAGCAGGAUGUCAGCGGUUCGAGUCCGCUUACCUCCACUGAAUACCACCUCUUACAUAUAGUUGAAGUGGGAAAUUGUUUUGAGUCGUGUCCUAAUUUGCUCUGAGCGAAUCUAGCUUCCUAUUUUAUCCAAGAAAUAAGAUGCUGGACUCAUUGAAUUUUUUUUCAUUGUUUUCAGAGAACCUUGACGACUGCAUAGAUUAUUUUUAAAGACAAUAAGCAUCUUUAAUGAUGCAGAUUUAUUAUUUGUGCGAAUGCAUUAAAUAACAAUUCUAUUAAGCUGAUGCUUCAAUUAUUGAAGUUAUUGGUCAAGCUACAAAGGGCUCACGGAGGAUACCUAGGCACACAGAGGCGAUGAA
rnacentral:misc_RNA from 1 species